rnacentral:rRNA from 1 species
UACGGGGGGGGCAAGCGUUGUUCGGAAUUACUGGGCGUAAAGGGCUCGUAGGUGGCCAACUAAGUCAGACGUGAAAUCCCUCAGCUUAACUGGGGAACUGCGUCUGAUACUGGAUGGCUUGAGUUUGGGAGAGGGAUGCGGAAUUCCAGGUGUAGCGGUGAAAUGCGUAGAUAUCUGGAGGAACACCGGUGGCGAAGGCGGCCGCCUGGGCCAGUCCUGACGCUGAGCCGCGAAAGCGUGGGGAGCGAUCCGG